rnacentral:rRNA from 1 species
AGCUUGCUACCGGACCUAGCGGCGGACGGGUGAGUAAUGCUUAGGAAUCUGCCUAUUAGUGGGGGACAACAUCUCGAAAGGGAUGCUAAUACCGCAUACGUCCUACGGGAGAAAGCAGGGGAUCUUCGGACCUUGCGCUAAUAGAUGAGCCUAAGUCGGAUUAGCUAGUUGGUGGGGUAAAGGCCUACCAAGGCGACGAUCUGUAGCGGGUCUGAGAGGAUGAUCCGCCACACUGGGACUGAGACACGGCCCAGACUCCUACGGGAGGCAGCAGUGGGGAAUAUUGGACAAUGGGGGGAACCCUGAUCCAGCCAUGCCGCGUGUGUGAAGAAGGCCUUAUGGUUGUAAAGCACUUUAAGCGAGGAGGAGGCUACUUUAGUUAAUACCUAGAGAUAGUGGACGUUACUCGCAGAAUAAGCACCGGCUAACUCUGUGCCAGCAGCCGCGGUAAUACAGAGGGUGCGAGCGUUAAUCGGAUUUACUGGGCGUAAAGCGUGCGUAGGCGGCUUAUUAAGUCGGAUGUGAAAUCCCCGAGCUUAACUUGGGAAU